GGACCGGCGGGAGGCACGGAUCCGAGCGGUCCUCACCGACACCCUCUGGUGCACGGAGACACGCGGUCGCCUAGACCACGUCGGGGAGCCAGAGGCGAGACCGACCCGUCGACGA
rnacentral:ncRNA from 1 species